rnacentral:rRNA from 1 species
UACGUAGGGUGCAAGCGUUGUCCGGAAUUAUUGGGCGUAAAGAGCUCGUAGGCGGUCUGUCGCGUCGGCUGUGAAAACCCGGGGCUCAACCCCGGGCCUGCAGUCGAUACGGGCAGACUAGAGUGCGGUAGGGGAGACUGGAAUUCCUGGUGUAGCGGUGAAAAUGCGCAGAUAUCAGGAGGAACACCGGUGGCGAAGGCGGGUCUCUGGGCCGAUACUGACACUGAGGAGCGAAAGCGUGGGGAGCGAAACAGGA